UAGAGUUUGAUNCCUGGCUCAGGAUGAACGCUGGCGGCGUGCCUAAUACAUGCAAGUCGAACGAGUUCUCGUUGAUGAUCGGUGCUUGCACCGANNUUCAACAUGGAACGAGUGGCGGACGGGUGAGUAACACGUGGGUAACCUGCCCUUAAGUGGGGGAUAACAUUUGGAAACAGAUGCUAAUACCGCAUAGAUCCAAGAACCGCAUGGUUCUUGGCUGAAAGAUGGCGUAAGCUAUCGCUUUUGGAUGGACCCGCGGCGUAUUAGCUAGUUGGUGAGGUAAUGGCUCACCAAGGCGAUGAUACGUAGCCGAACUGAGAGGUUGAUCGGCCACAUUGGGACUGAGACACGGCCCAAACUCCUACGGGAGGCAGCAGUAGGGAAUCUUCCACAAUGGACGCAAGUCUGAUGGAGCAACGCCGCGUGAGUGAAGAAGGCUUUCGGGUCGUAAAACUCUGUUGUUGGAGAAGAAUGGUCGGCAGAGUAACUGUUGUCGGCGUGACGGUAUCCAACCAGAAAGCCACGGCUAACUACGUGCCAGCAGCCGCGGUAAUACGUAGGUGGCAAGCGUUAUCCGGAUUUAUUGGGCGUAAAGCGAGCGCAGGCGGUUUUUUAAGUCUGAUGUGAAAGCCCUCGGCUUAACCGAGGAAGCGCAUCGGAAACUGGGAAACUUGAGUGCAGAAGAGGACAGUGGAACUCCAUGUGUAGCGGUGAAAUGCGUAGAUAUAUGGAAGAACACCAGUGGCGAAGGCGGCUGUCUGGUCUGUAACUGACGCUGAGGCUCGAAAGCAUGGGUAGCGAACAGGAUUAGAUACCCUGGUAGUCCAUGCCGUAAACGAUGAAUGCUAGGUGUUGGAGGGUUUCCGCCCUUCAGUGCCGCAGCUAACGCAUUAAGCAUUCCGCCUGGGGAGUACGACCGCAAGGUUGAAACUCAAAGGAAUUGACGGGGGCCCGCACAAGCGGUGGAGCAUGUGGUUUAAUUCGAAGCAACGCGAAGAACCUUACCAGGUCUUGACAUCUUUUGAUCACCUGAGAGAUCAGGUUUCCCCUUCGGGGGCAAAAUGACAGGUGGUGCAUGGUUGUCGUCAGCUCGUGUCGUGAGAUGUUGGGUUAAGUCCCCGCAACGAG
rnacentral:rRNA from 2 species